GGAGAGUUUGAUCCUGGCUCAGGAUGAACGCUAGCGGCAGGCUUAACACAUGCAAGUCGAGGGGCAGCAUAAUGGAUAGCAAUAUCUAUGGUGGCGACCGGCGCACGGGUGCGUAACGCGUAUGCAACCUACCUUUAACAGGGGGAUAACACUGAGAAAUUGGUACUAAUACCCCAUAAUAUCAUAGAAGGCAUCUUUUAUGGUUGAAAAUUCCGAUGGUUAGAGAUGGGCAUGCGUUGUAUUAGCUAGUUGGUGGGGUAACGGCUCACCAAGGCGACGAUACAUAGGGGGACUGAGAGGUUAACCCCCCACACUGGUACUGAGACACGGACCAGACUCCUACGGGAGGCAGCAGUGAGGAAUAUUGGUCAAUGGACGCAAGUCUGAACCAGCCAUGCCGCGUGCAGGAAGACGGCUCUAUGAGUUGUAAACUGCUUUUGUACGAGGGUAAACUCACCUACGUGUAGGUGACUGAAAGUAUCGUACGAAUAAGGAUCGGCUAACUCCGUGCCAGCAGCCGCGGUAAUACGGAGGAUCCGAGCGUUAUCCGGAUUUAUUGGGUUUAAAGGGUGCGUAGGCGGUUUGAUAAGUUAGAGGUGAAAUCCCGGGGCUUAACUCCGGAACUGCCUCUAAUACUGUUAGACUAGAGAGUAGUUGCGGUAGGCGGAAUGUAUGGUGUAGCGGUGAAAUGCUUAGAGAUCAUACAGAACACCGAUUGCGAAGGCAGCUUACCAAACUAUAUCUGACGUUGAGGCACGAAAGCGUGGGGAGCAAACAGGAUUAGAUACCCUGGUAGUCCACGCAGUAAACGAUGAUAACUCGUUGUCGGCGAUACACAGUCGGUGACUAAGCGAAAGCGAUAAGUUAUCCACCUGGGGAGUACGUUCGCAAGAAUGAAACUCAAAGGAAUUGACGGGGGCCCGCACAAGCGGAGGAACAUGUGGUUUAAUUCGAUGAUACGCGAGGAACCUUACCCGGGCUUGAAAGUUACUGACGAUUCUGGAAACAGGAUUUCCCUUUGGGGCAGGAAACUAGGUGCUGCAUGGUUGUCGUCAGCUCGUGCCGUGAGGUGUCGGGUUAAGUCCCAUAACGAGCGCAACCCCUACCGUUAGUUGCCAUCAGGUCAAGCUGGGCACUCUGGCGGGACUGCCGGUGUAAGCCGAGAGGAAGGUGGGGAUGACGUCAAAUCAGCACGGCCCUUACGUCCGGGGCUACACA
rnacentral:rRNA from 1 species